rnacentral:rRNA from 1 species
AGAGUUUGAUUCUGGCUCAGGAUGAACGCUAGCGACAGGCUUAACACAUGCAAGUCGAGGGGCAGCGGGGGUGAUGGCUUGCCAUCGCCUGCCGGCGACCGGCGCACGGGUGAGUAACACGUAUGCAACCUGCCCGCCACAGGGGGAUAAGCGGAAGAAAUUCCGUCUAAUACCGCGUGACGCGGCACCGGGGCAUCCCGGUGCCGCCAAAGGGAUUACCGGUGGCGGAUGGGCAUGCGGCGCAUUAGCUAGUCGGCGGGGUAACGGCCCACCGAGGCGACGAUGCGUAGGGGUUCUGAGAGGAAGGUCCCCCAUACUGGUACUGAGACACGGACCAGACUCCUACGGGAGGCAGCAGUGAGGAAUAUUGGUCAAUGGGCGCGAGCCUGAACCAGCCAAGUCGCGUGAGGGAUGACGGUCCUACGGAUUGUAAACCUCUUUUGCCGGGGAGCAAGCGUGCGUUCGUGAACGCGCGUCGAGAGUACCCGGAGAAAAAGCAUCGGCUAACUCCGUGCCAGCAGCCGCGGUAAUACGUAGGGGGCAAGCGUUAUCCGGAUUCACUGGGUGUAAAGGGAGCGUAGACGGCGACGCAAGUCUGGAGUGAAAGCCCGGGGCCCAACCCCGGGACUGCUCUGGAAACUGCGUCGCUGGAGUACGUGAGGGGCAGGCGGAAUUCCUGGUGUAGCGGUGAAAUGCGUAGAUAUCAGGAGGAACACCGGCGGCGAAGGCGGCCUGCUGGACCGUGACUGACGUUGAGGCUCGAGAGCGUGGGGAGCAAACAGGAUUAGAUACCCUGGUAGUCCACGCCGUAAACGAUGACUGCUAGGUGUCGGGGGACGACAGUGCCCCGGUGCCGCCGCAAACGCAGUAAGCAGUCCACCUGGGGAGUACGUUCGCAAGAAUGAAACUCAAAGGAAUUGACGGGGACCCGCACAAGCGGUGGAGCAUGUGGUUUAAUUCGAGGCAACGCGAAGAACCUUACCCAGCCUUGACAUCCCGGCGAGAACGGGGCAAUGCCCGUUGCCCUUCGGGGCGCCGGAGACAGGUGGUGCAUGGUUGUCGUCAGCUCGUGUCGUGAGAUGUUGGGUCAAGUCCCGCAACGAGCGCAACCCCUGCCCCCAGUAGCCAGCGUAGAGGCGGGCACUCUGGGGGGACUGCCGGGGACAACCCGAAGGAAGGCGGGGACGACGUCAAAUCAUCAUGCCCCUUACGGCUGGGGCUACACACGUGCUACAAUGGGGCCGACAGAGGGAAGCGGACGCGCGAGCGCGAGCGGACCCCAAAAACGGCCCCCCAGUUCGGAUUGCAGCCUGCAACUCGGCUGCAUGAAGCCGGAAUCGCUAGUAAUCGCGGAUCAGAACGCCGCGGUGAAUACGUUCCCGGGUCUUGCACACACCGCCCGUCAAG